AUGUUUGUAUUUUGCACUUGCCCGGAGGUGUUUCACGGGAAGUGAGCAUUUUUUAAAACAAAAAUAGAAUUUAGAAAAAAAAAAGGCAGACACGAUGGAUUUCUAGUGUUGUACGUGCUGUAGAAAGCACUUGAAAAUGCGUUUUGCCAGGGGCCGCAACCAGAAGCUACAUGACUUCUGGAAUCUGUUCCUUACACAGUAAAUUCCUGGGCCAGUUGGUAAACAGCAAGGAGCCACAAGAAAUCACUCAUAGGCAAAAGCCGAGUGAGCCCAGGCCAAGCUCCACUUUGUCCACUUUGCCCUAUUUUUGGAAUUCAGGGGGAAACAUCUUGGGAGCAGGCCCAUUGCACCCCUCUGCCUCCUCUCGAUGCCUUACAGUUGGUGGGGUUUGACACAUGGAAAAUUGUGAAAGUUAGAACACGGAACAAAAAUGAAGCCUCAACAUAGAGUUAAUAGAGGCAAGGGGCUACAGAGAAUUUAGAUCCUAAUCAAGCACGUCUUAUGUACUAGCGCUUCCCUGGAAGGCCAGGAUAACUUUAUGACUACAAAGAAAACAUGUUUUCCUGCUUGGAAGUUGCCAGAACUUGUCUAAUAUAAAAGCUGGGAUUUCUUGCCCGUGGGCUGUCGCGUACGGCUACCCAGGCCGCCUCGUGAAGCCUCCUCCUGGGAGCUCGGCGCCCUCAGGUGCUCCCUGAGAUGCCAGCACCUGAACGACCUGCUCCAGGGAGGCUUUAGCCCCAAGAAGGUUCUGGAAAGCUCCAGGAAGUUUAGCCGGCACGCACAAAAGCCAGAGACAAAUCUCCAGCCUGCCUGGAAAUGCUGUGGGCUCAGGGCAAUGGGCUGAGGUCUUGUGUCCAAAACUGCUCUUGCAUCUCCCUGGGGAGCCCGGGUGGGCAGGAACAACAAGGUCCUGUGGCCAUGCCCUCGCCCCAUGCUCACCCACACUGCCUGUGCCUGCUGGGCCCAUCUCAGGGCUGCACUGGCCCCUAGUGGCCAAGCAUGGGCUCUACCCCUCUGCGCCUGCCUGGCUGCCUGUGCAGGUGCCCACCACACUGUCCCUGAGCAGAGCAGAGACCAGCCUGAGCCCCGGGCUCCGUGGCUACCAUGCUGAGAGUGAGCCCUGUGCAUGCACACACACUUACGAUGCUGCUGGCCCCGAGCAGUGGCCGGCCACACGGGCUGCUAGUCAUACUGCCCGCUGCUCCUGGGACUCCUGAGCCCCUCACUCUCUAUAGGGUGAGGAUGCCCAGCUCUGCAAGACACACAGCAAACGGAGCCUCAGAGUGCACAGCGUGGAGAUGGGGCUCCCCCCACAGGCUGCACCCCCAUCUAGUCCCGGGGAACGAGAAUGAAGGGCCUACCUGAGCACACAAGCCCCAGGAGGGCAUGGGAGCUGCAUUUGGGGGCAGUGACUGGGAGGGCUGCUGACUCCAGGCUCAGAUUAAAAGACAGACGGCAACACUGGGGUUGCAGAGCUCAGGAGCCAGUCCUGGCCCCCUGCCUCCUCCCUCAUGAGGUUCCCCUGAUCCCCAGGACAUCGGCUUCCACAUCUGCACAUCUGGGAGACAAAUGCACCAUCAGGGAGGGCAAAUCAUACCUGGGAAGGGCCUGACUCCAGCAGUUUCAGCAGUGGCUGAAAGAUCAUGGCUAUUUUUGCCAUCAUUACAAUGGAAUGUCCACUCCCUCCAGCCACCUCCACAGCAAUCAACACCGGUGUCCAGCCACUCUACAUGGACGUGUGGGGAACAGAGCACAGGCCUCUUGGCUUGGCUGUGGUCACCGGGAGGGAGCAGGGAGGGACAGCUGCCAAGAGGAUGGGGGAGGGAGCCUGCUACUCAGGAACGCUGGGGCAAGACAUGAGACAAAGGGCUGCCUUCACCCACCAGUAGGAGCCUGACCCUGAGCCCAAAGAAACUGCCCACCUGUGUGCUGACCCCAGGGCCUGAGGACAGGUCCCCAAGUGGACGUCUCAAAGAGAGUCCCACAUUCCAGGGCACAUGGGAACUAUGGCCUUCUGGCAGCUGGAGGGCAGCAGGAAGGGCACAGCUGUCUGAGACCCGUGUGGCUUCCCAGAAAGAGGUGCCACCCCUGAGGAGGCACCGGUGCUCACGGACUCCUGGUUGCCAGUCUUGCCAGGGCAAAAAGGCAAGCGAAGGAAACCCUCUCUUCGUGGGGCACUCUGCCUUGCAGUGUCAGGUGAGAUCCCGGGGGGAAAGCUGGCUUGAGCUCCUCUGGAAUGUGCAGGGAGGACUCCGUCAGGCCCGGCUCUGCCUCCAAGCUGGGCAGCAGGCGAGCCCCAGAGCUCCACCAGCCCCACUGGCAGAGGAGGGCCCUCACGAGGCAGGAGCCCAUGAUUCAUGCCCUGCUGGAAUUUGUCGAGCAUGCCGAGAUUUGCAGCUCCUCCGAGAUUGGGUCCUGCCCUGAUCAAAAGAAAAGAAGAUGGAUGAGGACACUAUAAAUAGGCCAGAGCCACCCAGCUGGCCUCGGGGAUGCAGGCGGUAUGUGUUCUGGGCUCUCACGAAGCUAAGAAACUCUAAAUCCAAGGUGACAUCGUGGCACACCGCCACCUGCUUCAGGGGGACACAGGGGACAAGGAGGAGCUAUUGGCAGAGCGCUCGGUUCCUGCAAGUUCCAACUUCUGCUAAAAUUGGUUAAUUGGUUCCUUUGCAUGAUUCAGGGCACACAGGCUUCUCUGUCCACAAAAUUUGCUCGCCUGCACACCCAGAGAAAUGGACUUGGCUUGGUUUUUCUGAACUUUUGCCUCUGCGGAAUCAGCAGUGGACGUGUGAGCUGGGGCCUCUGUCCCUGUCAUGUGAGGAGGUCAGGCAGGACAAGCAGGAAGCACUGGGCAAUGAGUCAGGAGGCCUGGUGGGGAGCUUGGGUGAGUCUGUUUUCCUCUCUGGACCUCAGUCUUCUCCUCUGGUUGAUGUAAUAAAAUCCUACAAACUGA